AAGACAAGCUUUGUUUUGGGCACAUUCAGAGCUGACUGUACAUUCAGGGCGACAACCAGGUGGACUACCGAUAUAUUCCGGCCCACAUGGUGAAGGCUGACAAGGGUUGGUAGGUUCUUGCAAAACCGCUAAAAUAUCUCCUACUUAUAUAUUGGUCCUUAUAAAGUUUAUAAUUAACUUACGUUCUGGUGGAGGUAGGUUGCAAUAUCUGAAUGGAUCCCCAGUAUAACCAGGAAUACAAGUACAAGACGGUAAAUGAUUGAUAACUUGACAUUCCGCAUUCUGACCGCAUGUUCCAGGACAUGGGUCUUUGCAUUUGUUGUUGAUGCAUGCUUUGUUGGAGGGGCAAUCAGUGUUCAAAGUACAUUCAGGUCUACAACCUUCAUAUGGAUUACCAAUGUAAUCACUAAUACAGGUACAUGCACCAGCGCGGUUCUGUUCUCUGCAAAUUGCAUUCACACCACAGGGUGAUGGAUGGCAAGGGUUAACAGUCUCCGUAACAACAGGGGCUAAAAUAGUAUUUAAUGGUAAUUAUUAUUCAAAAAUGUUUCUUUGAUUGAGAUAAUCUUACGAGGUGGAGAAUUGCAUCUGAUAAACGGAUCACCAAUAUAUCCUGGUAUGCAAACACAGUUUGGAGUGUGGCUCAGUGUUCUACAUUCAGCAUUUUGACCACAUACUCCUGGACAUGGGUCUUUACACUUUUGAUUUAUACAAGCCAAGUGACUAGCACAUUCUGAGUUACUGACACAUUCGGGUCUGCAAUUUGGUGGGACUCCUGUGUAAUUUGGAAGGCAUGAACAAGAAGCCUGAUUGUUUAUCUCGCGACAUUGUGCAUUUGGUCCACAUGGUGAUGGAUUGCAUGGAUUUACAAUUUCUACAGGAGCUUGUUCUAAAAUAUUUUGAGUUAGACCUGAAUUUUUUACUGAAAAUAAAAAUGUCUUACGAAUUUGAAGACAACGAAUAAAUGGAUCACCAGAUAAUCCCGAUGGACAACUACAAAUUGGAUUGUGGUUGACAACUUGACAGAUAGCCUCAACCCACAUGUUCCAGGACAUGGGUCAAUACAUUUUGAUUAACACAUGCUUGGUUUAGAGGGCAUUCUGAGCUGGUAAUACAUUCAGGUCGACAAGUUGGUGGUGCGCCAAUAUAACCAGGUACACAGGAACAAACGGCUUGUCCGUUAAUUUCACGGCAUUGACUGUUUGGCCCACAAGGGCUUGGAUUACAUGGAUUUGACUUAACUGGUGCUAAAAUUAUUUUAUUAAGAUAUAUUACCCUAAAUGAAAGGAGAUCUUUCUUACGUGGAACCCUAUUGCAUAGAAUAAAAGCAUUUCCAGUGAAACCUGGCAGACAAGAACACAUCGGGAUGUGGUUAACCACAUUACAUUCAGCAUUCUGUCCACAAGUACCAGGACAUGGGUCUUUACACUUGUUUCUAAUACAAGCUUGGUUUCUGUUACAAUCACUAUUCAGGACACAUUCAGGUCUACAUCCUCUAUAAGGAUCUCCUUGAUAUUCUGGUGAACAGGUACAAACACCAUCCCUGCAUUGAGCAUUAGGCCCACAUGGUGAUGGAUUGCAAGGGUCUGACUGUACCGGUUCAGGUGGAGGUGGUGGUUUUAACCGACAAGCUAAAAAUGGAUCGCCAGUGUAUCCCUCAAAACAGGUACAAAUUGGCGUGUGAUUAAUAACCCUGCAUUGGGCAUUAGUUCCACAAGAACCCGGGCAUGGAUCUAUGCACUUUUCACGAAUGCAAGCAAGAUUACUUGAACAUUCUGAAUUAAUUGUACAUUCAGGUCUGCAAUUUGGCGGGCUACCAAUAUAAUUAGGUAAACAAGAACAUGAUGGUGAACCACCUCUAUCUCUGCAUUCAGAGAAUGGUCCACAAGGUGACGGCAAACAAGGGUUUACAUAAACAGGGUCCUGCUUUGGUGGUUGUGGAGCUAAAAGAAAAUUAAUUAGGGUUUCCUCAAAGCUGUAUUGCAAACAGCUCUUACGUGGUAUGGGGUAGCAUCUAGUAAAUGGAUCUCCCGUAUGACUAGCUUUACAAGUGCAAAUAGGGCUGUGAUUAAUCACUUGACACUGCGCGUUUAUACCGCAUGUGCCUGGGCAUGGAUCAACACAUUUUUGAUUCUUGCAAGCUUGGGUCAGAAUACAUUCUGAACUAGUAACGCAUUCGGGUCUACAACUUGGUGGGCUACCUAUAAAUGUGGGCAAACAAGAACAAACCGCUUGUUCAUUAAUGUCACGACAUUGGCUGUUAGGCCCACAAGGUGAUGGUUGACAAGGGUUGACGGGUUGUCUCACAGCUGAAAUAGGGUACCAAAUUUGGUUUAUCAAUUGAAUUAGUAGGCUACCAUCAAUCUUACGUUCAUCUGCUGGUGGUAAGGUGCAAUAACUAAACGGAUUUCCUGUGUAACCUGGAUCGCAGUUACAUGUGGGCAAAUGAUUGACAACUCGGCAGUUUGCAUGUUGACCACAAACACCCGGACAUGGGUCUUUGCAUUUAUUGUUCAUGCAAGCUUGGUGUGACGGGCAGUCGCUAUUAUGAAUGCAUUCAGGUCUGCAUCCUUCGUAAGGGUUACCAAUAUGAUCAGGAAUGCAACUGCAUGAACCAGCGUUAUUGCGCACUUUGCAAAUUGCGUUGAUGCCGCACGGACUAGGCUGGCACGGGUCUAAAAAUUCUAUUGGCGUACUUUGGACUGAAACGGGACAAUCAUUACCACCAAUUAGAAAACUAUAUUGCUUUGUUGAAGCGUUUGAUUGCAGCGGGGGUAGUGGCGCAGUUUGGCAUUAAUGUUUGGCAUGUGUGGGCUUGGGCUUUGGCGGGGCGAGAUUUGGUUAAGCGCAGUUAUGUAUUAUGUUUCAGCUUGAUUUUCGUUACCGCAAUGAGUUUUGGCCAAAGCAUUAUUUCGUUUUGGGGUUGGUAUUUCCGCAAGGAGGGCGUAUACGCAAGGUCUUUAAAUAUAACGCUGUUACCAUUGGAAAUCACUUACCUUUUUUGAUUAUAUAAAUAAGAAGCAGUUUGAAGCGAGAAGCGUUUGGAAAAUAAAUAAAAACAGAAUCAAUAACGUUGAUACAAGGUGUUUCAUUAAAAACACAUUAUAUCAAUCAUUACUUCCCGGAAAAUAAAAUAAUUCCUCCACCAGACACGCAAAAGCAGAAUUUUUAUUUUAUUUUAUUUUAAUAAAAAUCUGUUAAUUUUUGAA